CCUACGGGUGGCUGCAGUAGGGAAUCUUUCACAAUGGGCGAAAGCCUGAUGGAGCAACGCCGCGUGCAGGAUGAAGGCCUUCGGGUUGUAAACUGCUUUUAUAAGCGAGAAAUAUGAUGGUAACUUAUGAAUAAGGAUCGGCUAACUACGUGCCAGCAGCCGCGGUCAUACGUAGGAUCCGAGCAUUAUCCGGAGUGACUGGGUGUAAAGAGUUGCGUAGGUGGCAUAAUAAGUAGCUAGUGAAAUCUGGUGGCUCAACCAUUCAGACUAUUAGCUAAACUGUUAAGCUCGAGACCGUUAGGGGUAACUGGAAUUUCUAGUGUAGGAGUGAAAUCCGUAGAUAUUAGAAGGAACACCAAUAGCGAAGGCAGUUCACUGGACUGCAACUGACACUGAGGCUCGAAAGUGUGGGUAUCAAACAGGAUUAGAUACCCUUGUAGUC
rnacentral:rRNA from 1 species